CUUUAGCCCUGAUGGAAGGGAAAAUCUCCCGAUUCGUAAAAACAAGGCUUUUUGCCGUAGUUUUUCUGAAUCGGGAAUUGGAAUGACAGCAGGACGACUG
rnacentral:sRNA from 2 species